rnacentral:rRNA from 1 species
UACAGAGGGUGCAAGCGUUAAUCGGAAUUACUGGGCGUAAAGCGCGUGUAGGCGGCUCGAUAAGUCUGCUGUGAAAGUCCAAGGCUCAACCUUGGGAUGCCGGUGGAUACUGUCGAGCUCGAGUCCGGAAGAGGAGUGUGGAAUUCCUGGUGUAGCGGUGAAAUGCGUAGAGAUCGGGAGGAACACCAGUGGCGAAGGCGGCUACCUGGACCAGCACUGACACUGAGGCACGAAAGCGUGGGGAGCAAACAGGG